AAUCAAUCAACGAAAAACAAUAGAUGCAAAAGACGUUAUUCCGGUGUCGUGAACACAGCAUAUUGUAUUAUCGCUCAUCCUACUGUGAGAC
rnacentral:sRNA from 14 species